AACGAACGCUGGCGGCAGGCCUAACACAUGCAAGUCGAGCGAGAUCUUCGGGUCUAGCGGCGGACGGGUGAGUAACGCGUGGGAAUAUGCCUCUUGGUACGGAAUAGCCUCGGGAAACUGGGAGUAAUACCGUAUGUGCCCUUUGGGGGAAAGAUUUAUCGCCAAGGGAUUAGCCCGCGUCGGAUUAGGUAGUUGGUGGGGUAAUGGCCUACCAAGCCGACGAUCCAUAGCUGGUUUGAGAGGAUGAUCAGCCACACUGGGACUGAGACACGGCCCAGACUCCUACGGGAGGCAGCAGUGGGGAAUCUUAGACAAUGGGGGCAACCCUGAUCUAGCCAUGCCGCGUGAGUGAUGAAGGCCUUAGGGUUGUAAAGCUCUUUCAGCUGGGAAGAUAAUGACGGUACCAGCAGAAGAAGCCCCGGCUAACUCCGUG
rnacentral:rRNA from 1 species